CCUGGUUGAUCCUGCCAGUAGUCAUAUGCUUGUCUCAAAGAUUAAGCCAUGCAUGUGUAAGCACACACUGUUUUAAAAGUGAAGCCGCGAAUGGCUCAUUACAACAGCCACAGUUUAUUAGAACUUACAAUCAUGGAUAACUGUGGUAAUUCUAGAGCUAAUACACGCACAAAAACUUCAACUGAAUUGGUUGAAGUGCUUUUAUUAGAACAAAAACCGAACGGCGUUUGGCGAAUGUUGAACGUCGAAACUGUUUGGUGAAUCUGAAUAACUAUUUCUGAUCGCAUGGUCUAGCACCGGCGACAUCACUUUCAAGUGUCUGCCUUAUCAACCUUCGAUGGUAGUCUAUGCGACUACCAUGGUGAUAACGGGUAACGGAGAAUCAGGGUUCGACUCCGGAGAGGGAGCCUGAGAAACGGCUACCACAUCCAAGGAAGGCAGCAGGCGCGCAAAUUACCCACUCCCAGCUUGGGGAGGUAGUGACGAAAAAUAACGAGACGAUUCUCGUUUGAGAAACGUUAUCGAAAUGAGUACGCUUUACACACGCUAACGAGUAGCAAUUGGAGGGCAAGUCUGGUGCCAGCAGCCGCGGUAAUUCCAGCUCCAAUAGCGUAUAUUAAAGUUGCUGCGGUUAAAACGCUCGUAGUUGAAUUGUGGUCUUAGACAACAGUCCCCCUACAUAGGUGUGGCACGGUUGCUCGAGAUCUUCAUUCGUGGUUGCUGUUGUUGCUCUUCAUUGAGUGUCAAUGGUGCCUCGAGAUUUUACUUUGAAAAAAUUAGAGUGCUCAAAGCAGGUUGUGAUGCCUGAAUAAUGGUGCAUGGAAUAAUAGAAUACGAUCUCGGUUCUAUUUUGUUGGUUUUCGAACCGGAGAUAAUGAUUGAAAGGAACAGACGGGGGCAUUCGUAUUGCUGCGUUAGAGGUGAAAUUCUUGGAUCGCAGCAAGAUGAACAAUUGCGAAAGCAUUUGCCAAGAAUGUUUUCAUUAAUCAAGAACGAAAGUUAGAGGUUCGAAGGCGAUCAGAUACCGCCCUAGUUCUAACGGUAAACUAUGCCAACCAGCGAUUCGCCGAAGUUCAUUUAAGACUCGGCGAGCAGCUUCCGGGAAACCAAAGUGUUUCGGUUCCGGGGGAAGUAUGGUUGCAAAGCUGAAACUUAAAGGAAUUGACGGAAGGGCACCACCAGGAGUGGAGCCUGCGGCUUAAUUUGACUCAACACGGGAAAACUCACCCGGCCCGGACACUGGAAGGAUUGACAGAUUGACAGCUCUUUCUUGAUUCAGUGGGUAGUGGUGCAUAGUUGCUCUACUGUUGCAUUGAAUUCAAAAUCAACGGCGUUUACAGCAAAUAUACUGUGGAUUUGCUCCAAAUGGUUCAUGCGUCGUUUCACAAACAUUCGGAAAUUAUUUUUGUCAGCACUGAAGGCGUGCACAACGCAAUCGACGAAGAUAUGGUCAGUAAUGUGUUGUAUCACGCGGAUGUUAUUGAAUUUCAUAUACCCGGUACGGAAAAUUUCGCAAAACUCUACACCCAUGCUAUAGGGCAAAUGCUCAGAGAUGCUGC
rnacentral:rRNA from 1 species